rnacentral:rRNA from 1 species
AAAGAUUAAGCCAUGCAUGUCUAAGUGCAAGCCGAAUUAAGGUGAAACCGCGAAAGGCUCAUUAAAUCAGCUAUGAUUCAUUAGAUGGUACUUACAGUUACUUGGAUAACUGUGGCAAUUCUAGAGCUAAUACAUGCGAAUUUAGUUCCGGACGCUUAGCAGGCGGCCGGGAUGCUUUUAUUAGAUCAAAACCAAUCGGACUCGAACGAGUCCGUCAAGUUUUGGUGACUCUGGAUAACCAUUUUAGCUGAUCGCACGGUCUCGUACCGGCGAUGCAUCUUUCAAAUGUCUGACUUAUCAACUUUCGAUGGUAGGCUCUGCGCCUACCAUGGUGAUAACGGGUAACGGGGAAUCAGGGUUCGAUUCCGGAGAGGGAGCCUGAGAAACGGCUACCACAUCCAAGGAAGGCAGCAGGCGCGCAAAUUACCCACUCCCGGCACGGGGAGGUAGUGACGAAAAAUAACGAUGCAGAACUCUAUCCGAGGCUCUGCAAUCGGAAUGAGCACACUCUAAAUCUUUUAACGAGUAUCCAUUGGAGGGCAAGUCUGGUGCCAGCAGCCGCGGUAAUUCCAGCUCCAAUAGCGUAUAUUAAAGGUGUUGCGGCUAAAAAGCUCGUAGUUGGAUCUGUGUUUCGCGAUGUCGGUUCACCGCCCGUCGGUGUUUAACUGACAUGCCGCGGUACGUCAUGCCGGUUGGCGGAGCGGGGUUUUCUCUCGCUUGUUCUCGUCUCGCCCUCCCCCGCGCCUUUCGCAAAAGGAGGCCGGGGCUCAGGGGAGAGAGGCUCGCGGGGGAAAGCUUCGGGCCGGCCGCUGUGGGAGGCGAGCGGUUCGCCGCCGUCCCGCCGACGUGUCUCGAUCGCCGGAGAAACCCUCCGCUUCGAUGGAGAUCGCUCGUGCGGGCGAGCGAGCGGCCGCCGUUUCUCGGUCCGGUUGUUGUCCUUCCCUCGCGGGGGGCACCGCGCCGAUCCGCGUCCGCCAGUUUCGGUAAACCCUGUCGCGAUGCUCUUAAUCGGGUGUCGCGGCGGGCCGGCACGUUUACUUUGAACAAAUUUGAGUGCUUCAAGCAGGCCAGAGCCGCCGGAAAAUCGUGUGCAUGGAAUAAUGGAAUAGGGCCACGGUUCUAUUUUGUUGGUUUCCGGAAUCCGAGGCAAUGAUUAACAGGGACAGGCGGGGGCAUUAGUAUUGCGGCGUUAGAGGUGAAAUUCUUGGAUCGUCGCAAGACUAACUAGAGCGAAAGCAUUUGCCAAGGAUGCUUCCAUUAAUCAAGAACGAAAGUUAGAGGUUCGAAGGCGAUCAGAUACCGCCCUAGUUCUAACCGUAAACCAUGUCAGCCAGCAAUCCGUCGAAGUUCCUCCGAUGACUCGACGGGCAGCUUCCGGGAAACCAAAGCUUUUGGGUUCCGGGGGAAGUAUGGUUGCAAAGCUGAAACUUAAAGGAAUUGACGGAAGGGCACCACCAGGAGUGGAGCUUGCGGCUUAAUUUGACUCAACACGGGAAACCUCACCAGGCCCGGACACUGGAAGGAUUGACAGAUUGAGAGCUCUUUCUUGAUUCAGUGGGUGGUGGUGCAUGGCCGUUCUUAGUUGGUGGAGCGAUUUGUCUGGUUAAUUCCGAUAACGAACGAGACUCUAGCCUGUUAACUAGGCGAAAACAAUUCCGUCAUCAUUUCAAAAAAGCUGACGGCGGCGUAAUUUCUUCUUAGAGGGACAGGCGGCUUCUAGCCGCACGAGAUUGAGCAAUAACAGGUCUGUGAUGCCCUUAGAUGUUCUGGGCCGCACGCGUGCUACACUGAAGGAAUCAACGUGUCACGAGUCCUAGGCCGAUAGGCCCGGGAAACCCGUUGAACUUCCUUCGUGCUAGGGAUUGGGGCUUGCAAUUGUUUCCCAUGAACGAGGAAUUCCCAGUAAGCGCGAGUCAUAAGCUCGCGUUGAUUACGUCCCUGCCCUUUGUACACACCGCCCGUCGCUACUACCGAUUGAACGAUUUAGUGAGGUCUUCGGACCUGUACGCGGGAGUCGCCCUUCGGCGACUUCCGAUGCUGCGGGAAAGACGACCGAACUUGAUCGUUUAGAGGA